UUAGACAAACUGUCUAUAAAUGGAGAUGAUUUAGUACUAUAGGUACUCUCACUAGAAGUGGCCGUUAGAUAUUCAUCUGUUCACAGUUAGACAAACUGUCUAUAAAUGGAGAUGAUUUAGUACUAUAGGUACUCUCACUAGAAGUGGCCGUUAGAUAUUCAUCUGUUCACAGUUAGACAAACUGUCUAUAAAUGGAGAUGAUUUAGUACUAUAGGUACUCUCACUAGAAGUGGCCGUUAGAUAUUCAUCUGUUCACAGUUAGACAAACUGUCUAUAAAUGGAGAUGAUUUAGUACUAUAGGUACUCUCUCUAGAAGUGGCUGUUAGAUAUUCAUCUGUUCACAGUUAGACAAACUGUCUAUAAAUGGAGAUGAUUUAGUACUAUAGGUACUCUCACUAGAAGUGGCCGUUAGAUAUUCAUCUGUUCACAGUUAGACA